GGCUCGGUGGUGGAUGGUCCACACUUCUUUCCUGUAAACCAGGUACCUGCCUGCGGCAGGAGGAGCCUGUUCGAUUCAGGCCCGAGCCA